rnacentral:SRP_RNA from 1 species
GGCGGGUCUCUUCGCAUUAGUCUUUGGAACAACGGGUCAGGUGCGGAAGCAAGCAGCUCACUUCAUAUGAAUAAGUGCCGAGGGUUGGGCUCGCCUCC